GCCUGGCCGAAGUCACCGGGUAUGUCCCCCCUCGGUGGCCGCUCAACACCGGAAUUUCCGAAUUCAAGUCCUGAGGGCUGCCUGGCGGCAGCAACCAAAAAAGAACCCGGGGAAGGCUCCCGGAGCUAGGGUUCCUGUCCCCGGGCCAGGCUAACCUUGAUUUUGCGUUUACACUGCGCUAAGAGCUUUAUUGGAUCCUGCCAACCACCCUGGACGCGCCACAGUGGCUUAAACAGUGUUGACAGCCUAGAGUGUGGACUCCCUGGUUGCUCAGUGAUAAGAAAUCCACCUGCCAAUGGAGGGGACACAGAUUAGAUCUCUGAUUUGAGAAGACGCCACAUGCCUCGGAGCAACUAACCCCAUGCACCACAACUACUGAGCCUGUGCUCUAGAGCCUGGGAGCCACAACUGAGUCCCCGUCCUACAACUACAGAAGCCCAAGCGCCCUAGAGCCUGUGCUCCACACGGAGAAAAGCCACUUCAAGGAGAAGCCAGUGAACUGCAACUAGAGAGUAGCCCUCAUUCUCCACAACUAGAGAAAAGCCCACACAGCAGAGAAGACCCAGCACAGUGAAAAACAAAAAGAAAAUUUAAAGAACCUACUGUGUGCCAGGCAUCAUUCCAGGUGCUGGGGGCACAGUAAUGAACAGAAGAGACCAAAAUUCCUGCCAUCAUGCAGAGAUCGUUAUUAAAAGUAGGAGCAACAGAAACAAAAAUAAAAUACAUAAAGGGACUUCCCUGGUGGGCCACUGGCUAAGAUUCCACUGUCCAAAAGCCCCAGCCCAGGUUCCAUCCCUGGUCAGGGAACUAGAUCCCAUGUGGCAUCACUAAGAGUUCACAUGCCUCAACUAAAGAUUCCCCAAGUGGAAGUAGAAGAUGGAGGAUCACCCAAGCAACAACUAAGACUCAACACAGAUAAAUAAAUGCAUAAAUGUUUAAAAAAUAAAACAUAUGGAGACGUA